AAAGGGGGUAUUGAAAUUUGAAAGUUUUGAAACCGAAAAUAAGAAAACCACUUGCGCCAUAAUUUUCCCCUUUUGGAGGCUAUCUUUUUGUUAGCUCACAAAACCGGAGUCGGUUGGGGACACGUGGAGGGGAGAAAUUGGUCUGUUGUGAUUAUAAAUAACCGGCAAGGAAGGGAAAACCCAAGCCCACUCGUAGGGUUAUAGAAAUAGUAAUAGUAAUAGAUGGUUCCGUUUUUAGCAAAGCCAAAAGUUUCCCUAAAGGAGCUCGAGAUUGAUUCAGUUACCGGCGGUCUCUAAUUCGCUUGGUGCAGGUCGGGAACUGAUUGGCUGCUGCUCCUUAAUAGUGGAUUGGAUUGGAUUUAGGCCAGAUGGCGGGCCGUGACUGGAGGAGGCACGAAUUGGAUCCCGCCUUGCAUCAACUGAAUCGGAGACCGCGGUGAGGGGUUGCAUGGAUCUUGCCUUCUUUUUCUGUGUUAUGUUCAGAUCUCAGGAGAUACGUGAAGGUAACUGUCGUGCCCUAUUAAUCUUUUAUUUCCCUUUGACGAUACAAAUGUGAAGGCAAUGACUCGGGACCCAGAGAGGUUUCAAUUUGAAGGUGAGGGCAUUUUACAUAGGUUUUAGACUUCAUUUAUGGUUCAAUGAGGUUGCAUUUCAUCCUUGUAAUAAUGAUUAAAUUAAGGUUCUAUAUUUGUUUUUUCUUAACAUAUUUGGUAGUCCAUCUAGAUUGAUGUCUGGUCUUGACUCUGUCCUCAUUUUGAAUAUUUAUCUAUAUUUCUUGCUUCAAAUUUGAUGCAAUUGAUUAGUUGUACUGACAUUUUGAUUCUAAUUGUCUCCCAUGAUGUGAUUUUAAUUUUAAUUACUGCGACAAAUUUGAACUUUGAAAAUCAUACUAAAUGCCAUUAGGUAGAACUACAGUUUCUGUGCUCAGGAAUAUUCCCUAUUUCAAAUUUAUUUUAAUGCUCCUUGCUUAACACAAUUUGAGUUGUAAGAUUGUCAGUUAUUUAUUGAUUCAUUUAAAGGCUCUGAGAUUUACUUGAUGGAGUGUGUUUGAUAAAAAGGUUUUAAGCUUUUCAGAUUACCUGUAAUGGUUGUAAAUUUGCAGAGCUGCUGGAGGUAUUUCAAAGAAUGGAAAAUCCCCCUAGGAAGACAUUGAGAGAGACUGAAAAUUUAAACAAUUGACAUGCUCUAAUAACUUUUGUCCUGAUAUCAGAAACUUUAGAUUGCAACUCUAUUCAGUGUGUGUGGCUAUUCAUUUCUGUCUGCUGCUGUUUCCUCUCAUUAUAAUAAUAUUCUUGACAUUUUAUCGACUUGAGAAGAUGGGUGGCUUGAAAUUCAAUAUUACAGGUGGAGACAGCAAUUGCUGUUAGAAUUAUCCAUUGAGAGUUGAAUUGUCUUUUCUAGUUGAAGUGCUAGUUGUUUCAUUCUUUGUGGGAACAUCUUUAGCAAUUAGCAUUAACAAACCCAAAAAUUUCCCCCUUCUCGGUUGCUAAUGUACAUUUGAAUUGUUCUUGCCUUUGGUCUUUUGCAUUGUUAGGUUUACAUUGCUUUUAACAGCAUUCUUUCUAGAAGAUCAUUUACACUUAUUCUUAGAUCUGUAGUUCCUAUCCUUACUGACCAUAUUGAUUUAACUAAUGGAUGUAUAGUUUGUACUUGGUAUAUAUUGAUAUUUUUGCUUAUGAAAAUUGGCCUUUUGUUCCCCAUUGAGUUGAUAUCCAGCUGUGGAGCCUUUUAUCAAUCAGUGUCUGAAGGCCGCUGCAAUAUUCUUGCCAAAUUUAUCUACUCAUCUUUUUGGCUUCAAAUCUCAACACAACUUUUGUUCUUUGGUUGUCCUUUACUUAGUGAGCAAAGUUCCAAAAAGCCUUAGCAUAUCCCUUAGGAUAGGUUUUCUUUCCACCCAAAAUUCGUGUUUGACUAAUUGAAGAUAUUAGUGCCACAGCAGUUAAUUAUGUGAGACUGUGAGACGGGACUGGGUUAUAUACCGCACCUCUUAGUUUAGGGUUUAUGGUCCUUAAGAUUGCAAUUGGAGUGUGAAAACUAAAUCUUUCUAUUUUUUGGUGUCAGAAUGGAUGUUGUCUCUCUGGGAUGAGAUGGUAACUGAUGAAUCCAUUCUCACAUUGUUUUGCUUUUGCCUAUUUUCCCGUAAACAUUAAAAUGUAAAAGUUGUAUUUUUGGCCAAUAUAGAGGAUUUUUAUGUUUAAAAGUUCACUCAUAUGCAGGACUCAUGUAAAUGCAAGUUCACAUCAAGGGCGUCUUGGUAAUGUCAGAACAAUUCCAUUUACUGCUUAUCUUGUCUUGUGAAUAUAACCAGCCUACCGUUUGCAUAAAAUUAGAAUCCUUGCCCUAACGUUAUUUUGUCCUUGAGGACACAUUAUUAUGUGUUAUUAAUGCCCUUGUUGUGGACACGUUGUUAUGUGACGUUAAUGUCUUUGCUGUAGACACAAAAAAUCAAAGUGAAUGAGUUAUAACCGUGGAAUGCUGAUAGCAUUGAUGACAGAUGCUAAGGAGGGGCCUGGAACGAGGAUUCUUGGAUGGUGGUUAACUUUCGAAAUGAUGCCAUUUUAUUUUGACCUGGAAAACAAUAAGGUCCCUUUCAUGUUGGCGCCGGGCGGUUUCUUUCCCAUUGAACUGCUUUACACAAUUGGUUACUAGGCUGGAUGAGGAAGGCGGGUGUUUUGUUUGGGACCCAUGUGAUGAAUUUUCAAUUUUUAUGGUGGCCCUGAGUUUCUCUUUCUUAGCUUUGUACAGCUCAGUUGCUUUAGAAAAGCAUCUUUGAAGCUGACAUGAAGAAGCACGGAUGCACAAUUUUUGUUCUGGUUGAUUGCCAGUCUUUACGCGGACAACAAUUGACUCAAAAAGUGGGGUUGGAAAGAAAACGCUGUGAAAUAAUUGCAGGAUUUGCCUGACUUGUAAAGUGUUCAGGUGGGAAUAAUGCAGGAAGUGAAUUUGUUAAGAGUCUAGUUGAUUGAUUGAGAUUUGAGAGAUUUUAUUAUGGUCAGUAAAUCAAACUUCCAAAUUUUCUCAAAUUAUAAAACUAAGCUGAAA
rnacentral:pre_miRNA from 10 species